UAUUGUAAUGACCUUGAGGGUGAUUUUCGUAAAUUUGUACAAAACACGCGUGAACAGUAACACGCGUGAACAGUAACUUUUUGGGCAGAAAAUGCCCCUUUCUUCCCAUUUCAAUAUUUUUUUUCAACAUUUGUUUGAGUUCUUGAACUCCUUGAGGUGAUUUGAGAAGAGAUUUUCGAGGCAAAGUGUUGGUGGAUUGUCAUUCCGGGCACUGAAUUCGAGAGUUGCUUGUCCGGUGGAGGUAUUCGAGUGCGGUUUCGGCAAUUGAGAUACUAGUCGGGGUACCCCACGUGGCAGUUAAUAUUCUAGCGGAUUGUGUAUUCUCAUAUUAGUGGUGAGGUCCCAGAAUUCGGAUCGUCACUAGUCUAUCUUUAUUUUUCAGUCUUUUGUAUCAUUCAGAGACUAAUGUUGUAUCUUCAGAUUCGAACCUUGUAUUAGAUGCUCUUUAUACUUAUGACACCAGGUUUUGGGAUAAUU